rnacentral:rRNA from 1 species
GAUGAACGCUGGCGGCGUGCCUAAUACAUGCAAGUCGAGCGAACAGACGAGGAGCUUGCUCCUCUGACGUUAGCGGCGGACGGGUGAGUAACACGUGGAUAACCUACCUAUAAGACUGGGAUAACUUCGGGAAACCGGAGCUAAUACCGGAUAAUAUAUUGAACCGCAUGGUUCAAUAGUGAAAGACGGUUUUGCUGUCACUUGUAGAUGGAUCCGCGCCGCAUUAGCUAGUUGGUAAGGUAACGGCUUACCAAGGCAACGAUGCGUAGCCGACCUGAGAGGCGGACCGGCCAGAAUGGGACUGAGGUACGGCCCAGACUCCUACGGGGGGCAGCAGUGGGGAAUCUUGAACAAGGGGCGGAAGCCUGAUGCAGAAACGCCGCGUGCGGGAUGACGGCCUUCGGGUUGUAAACCGCUUUCGCCUGUGACGAAGCGGGAGUGACGGUAAUGGGUAAAGAAGCACCGGCUAACUACGUG